GGACUACAGGGGUUUCUAAUCCUGUUUGCUCCCCACGCUUUCGCGCCUCAGCGUCAGUUCCGGACCAGGUCGCCGCCUUCGCCACCGGUGUUCUUCCCAAUAUCUACGAAUUUCACCUCUACACUGGGAAUUCCACGACCCUCUUCCGGACUCGAGUCUGCACGUAUCAAACGCAGCCCCCAGGUUGAGCCCAGGAAUUUCACGUCUGACUGUACAGACCGCCUACGCGCCCUUUACGCCCAGUCAAUCCGAGCAACGCUAGCCCCCUUCGUAUUACCGCGGCUGCUGGCAC
rnacentral:rRNA from 1 species